rnacentral:rRNA from 1 species
CCUACGGGAGGCAGCAGUGGGGGAUAUUGCACAAUGGGGGAAACCCUGAUGCAGCAACGCCGCGUGUGGGAAGAAGGUUUUCGGAUUGUAAACCACUGUUCUUGGUGAAGAUAAUGACGGUAACCAAGGAGAAAGCUCCGGCUAACUACGUGCCAGCAGCCGCGGUAAUACGUAGGGAGCAAGCGUUGUUCGGAAUGACUGGGCGUAAAGGGUGCGUAGGCGGUUGUACAAGUUAGAAGUGAAAUACCCAGGGCUUAACUCGGGUGCUGCUUCUAAAACUGUAUGACUUGAGUGCAGUAGAGGUUAGUGGAAGUCCUAGGGUAGCGGUGGAAUGCGUAGAUAUUAGGAGGAACACCAGAGGCGAAGGCGGCUAACUGGACUGCAACUGACGCUGAGGCACGAAAGUGUGGGGAGCAAACAGGAUUAGAUACCCGGGUAGUC